UACAGAGGGGGCAAGCGUUAUUCGGAAUUAUUGGGCGUAAAGCGCGUGUAGGCGGCUUGGCAAGUCGGGUGUGAAAGCCCUCAGCUCAACUGAGGAAGUGCGCCCGAAACUGCUGAGCUCGAGUGCCGGAGAGGGUGGCGGAAUUCCCCAAGUAGAGGUGAAAUUCGUAGAUAUGGGGAGGAACCCCGGUGGCGAAGGCGGCCACCUGGACGGUAACUGACGCUGAGACGCGAAAGCGUGGGUAGCAAACAGG
rnacentral:rRNA from 1 species